GAACUAUACUAGUGCAAAGUAUUCAUCAAUAUAUAUGAAAUUUUCGUAUUACAAGUUUUAUUUAUAUAACUAUUGAAAUGUGCAAAUGAGGCAAAACUUUGUUUAAUACAAGUGAAUUUUCACAUUUCCAGAUAUUUUUCAACACAUUAUUUCAAGGCAUAAUUAUUUUUAUUUUCUACUGUGAUAAGACACCCAAUGGUCAGACUUGUCCCCAGACAGCAGCUGACUCCGCGGCGGAUCCGCUGUUGUUAUGGCAAAUCAUAGCAGUCACUUAGCGCCACCGCACCAGAUCCAAAACGUACGUUUUUAGCGAUGGCUAGUUCGAAAGAAUUGGUCCUGAUUCGAAUAGGAUGCAUGAUCUAUGCUCGCGUGCAGCGCUCGUGCUACCAUUUGAAGCAUUUGGGACGUUGGUCAAAUCAACCGUAAGAAACAAGGAGUUGUGCAACAUAUUGGAGGACAGGAGCCCUUGGACCACACCUCAGGACGAGCUGGUUUGAAAGGCUCAUAGCCAUCCCUGUCUAAAGUCCUGCUGGUUUGGUUGGAGUUUAAGCAGCUGACGAUACCUUACGAUUUCAGCUGCCCCUCCGUUGACCAUUCCUGAUUGUCCCUGUCUUCGUCCAUCUGGUCAUACAGCAGACGUGGAUUAUGUUUUAUAGACUCUGGACAAAGCCCAUAUGCAUUUAUUAAUUAUUACAGUUUGUACUCUUAAAAUGUUCCCCUGGCACAGCCAGAAGAGGACUGGCCACCCCUCAGAGCCUGGUUCCUCUCUAGGUUUCUUCCCAAAUUGCAUCCCUUUAGGGAGUUUUUCCUAGCCACUAUGCAUCAACCCCAUUGUUGCUUGCUCUUUGGGGUUUCAGGCUGGGUGUUUAGAAUACUUUGUUAUAACUGCUGAUGUAAAAAGGGCUUUAUAAAAUCCAUUUUAUUGAUUGAUCAGAAAAUGCAUGCAGUAUGCCAUCAGUUUAGUCUUGCAUUUGACCACAGAGGUGGUUGCAGAGAACAUUCCAAGGCUGCAGACAGUACAGAACAUGCUACAAGACCGUAACACUAAUGUUGAGGACUAUUUACGUCAUCCUCUUCCUGAAUGCUCCAGGAAGUGUGUGGUCUCAGUUGGACAUCAUUCUCCAUCCUCAAUUUCACUUGCCUCAAAUUGUGGCACAAUGUUGUGUUUGUUAAUUUCUUGUAAUAUCCCAUGUUUUUCACAAUUUUAAGUUUUGAUGGUUUCAUUUAUUCAGUAUUGCCAAUACAAUGUUGUGAUGGGAAAAUGGUAAUCUAUUGAAUUUAUGUUUGAAAUGUCAACAUUUUUACUAACAAUGAAAAUGUAAAUGAGUUGUCAGGAUGUUUCUGGGUGUAUUAGUCCUGGGUAGGAAUGGGUAUGUAUGCCCCCACUGUGAUAAAUAGUUUUUAGCUCAAAUUGUAUGAAUGUGUUUAUUAAUGUUGAAUGCUACCAUUUGAUAAAUCCUUAUUUUUUAUUUUGGGUUAACACUGUAUUAAUUGAUUCAGAAUUGAAAUGUUUUUGAUAUUUCAUUGUAGCUGUGAAUUUACAUUUUGAUAUGAAUUCCUAUUUAUCUAUAAUAAAC
ensembl:lncRNA